rnacentral:rRNA from 1 species
UACAGAGGGGGCAAGCGUUAUUCGGAAUUAUUGGGCGUAAAGGGCGCGUAGGCGGCGAUUUAAGUGACGGGUGAAAUCCCUCGGCUUAACCGAGGAACUGCCUGUCAGACUGGGUUGCUUGAGACCGGGAGAGGCGAGUGGAAUUCCCAGUGUAGCGGUGAAAUGCGUAGAUAUUGGGAGGAACACCAGUGGCGAAGGCGGCUCGCUGGACCGGAACUGACGCUGAGGCGCGAAAGCGUGGGGAGCAAACAGG